rnacentral:rRNA from 1 species
GACGAACGCUGGCGGCGUGCUUAACACAUGCAAGUCGAGCGGUAAGGCCCUUUCGGGGGUACACGAGCGGCGAACGGGUGAGUAACACGUGGGUGACCUGCCCUCAGCUCUGGGAUAAGCCCGGGAAACUGGGUCUAAUACCGGAUAUGACUUCAUGACGCAUGUUGUGGAGUGGAAAGCCUUGUGCGGCUGAGGAUGGGCCCGCGGCCUAUCAGCUUGUUGGUGGGGUGAUGGCCUAC